rnacentral:pre_miRNA from 1 species
AAAAGUCAUGACGUCUUAUUCUGUGUUUUUCUAUGGAAAAAUGCGUCAUGACUUUCCCA